rnacentral:tRNA from 1 species
AAAGAAAUACUAAAAAAAGCUUCUAACUUUUAAAAAAGCAUUAAAAUUGU